ensembl:lincRNA
AGCGAUGCUCGCGUCUCUGCUUUGGGCUCCGUCUUCCCAUAGCCGCCUUCAGUCUCGUAUAGCCGACACUGCUCAGGAACCGGUUAUGUUGUUGAGAUCUUCCUGCCUGCGCUUCUCAUACGGGUAUGUGUCACUCGUCCCACUUUACCUCACUACAGUCCUUUAAGGUAAUGUCAUAAUCCCCGUUUUAGAAGUGAUUCUGAGGUCGGGCGUGGUGGCGCACGCCUUUAAUCCCAGCACUUGGGAGGCAGAGGCAGGCGGGUUUCUGAGGUCGAGGCCAGCCUGGUCUACAAAGUGAGUUCCAGGACAGCCAGGGCUAUAAAGAGAAACCCUGUCUCGAAAAACCGGAAAGAAAGAAAGAAAGAAAGGAAGAAAGAAAACAAAUGAAAUGAUUCUGAGAUUCAGAAAGGCUAAUCAGACUUGCUGCCUGACUCCCCACAGAGCAAAAAUGGAGUUACUAAGUACUUAAACUUCUACUAUGAGAUGUUCGAGAUGUUCUUCCAUUAGGAAAAUAAAACCAAAAACUUGGAAUUCUUUAAAACAAACAAAACAAAACAAAAAAACAAACAAACAAAAAAAACCCCACAGAUACAGCAUUCAUGGUUCCAGUUUCCAAAGUGAACACGUGUUAGGUUUCAUAAUUUGGUAUUUUUAGGGUAAAGAACUUGAACUUAAGAAAAGGCGGAAUUCUCCUGUUUGGCAUCUCUGAAUGGUUGUAUUUUGUGAAUUGUUCUACAGUUUGGUUUUUAAGGAAUGUCAUGGCCUAGGUUCUACUUUUAUAAAAUUAUGCCAUAAAAGAAUGAAAGAGGGAAAGCAGUUUGGGAGCAGGCCACAGUGUGGUGCUAUAUUGACUUGCUUCGGAGCUGAGACCUACAUGGGUAAGUUAUCCCAAAAGCUAUGCUAUUGUUUGGCUAUCUUUGUAAAACUUGGUGCCUUCUCUGCUCUGAGAUGAGCUCUAAAACACUACUGAGAAAUUGGAGAAGAGCUCUCCAGGACUGAGGACCCCCCAGAGACUUCUUGAAGGGACAGUGGGCUUUUGGAGAGCUGCUGGGAACUGAAAGUACCAGGAGGAUCCGCUAGGUGAAACAGCUGUGAGUGAGUAGCCAUUUCUCAAGAAUGUAUGUAUUGUGUCAUAGAAGAAACAGUAGGGCCCUGGGGUGGGACUUUGGGGGAGCACUGGCCCAGCAUGCUUGAGGCCCUGGAUAUGAGUUUUGUCACCAAAAGAGGCAAAACAGUGAAUCCAGAGGAACUAUUUCAUUUUUACUCUAAGAUGUAACAGGUUUUUAGCAGGAGGCCAAAAAGUCUUUAAAAUGAGACCGUUCAUUUUAAAGACUUAGACAUCUAGCAUUGUUACACGUAUGGUCUUUUAUUAAACAUACUACUUUAGGCUAUAAUUUCCUUAAGAGCAAAUAUGUGUUGAUUUCCAUACCUUUAGCAGUUGAGAGUGACAUAAAAAGGGUACUCAUUAAUGAAUGAAGAAACCUUAAACUCAAGCCGGGCAUGGUGGCGCACGCCUUUAAUCCUAGCACUCAAGAGGCAGAGGCAGGCGGAUUUCUGAGUUCGUGGCCAGCCUGGUCUCUUUUUGGCAGGAUUUUCUAUAGACCAGGUUGGCUCAAAUGUGGAACCCUCCUGCUUUGGCCUCCCCAAAUGACGAAAUGGCAGUUGUGCAAUAUCUCAGCUGUGCAGUGUCACAGCUGCGUAGGCUGCCCUUGAAGCCACAGCAUCUGAAAGAGUUGGCCGAGUUACAAAGCUGACCAGAUGACAUCACCGUUGUCCAGGCAGAUCUCUUUCCUCAGCAGAACAUUUGGGGCUUUGCUAGUCCUGCCUUCCUCUAAGAGGUCUGAUGAGGCAUCGGAUUACCCAACCUUUGGAUGUUCUGAUGACUUCUUGCUAAACAAACUAAAACCUUAUUUUCUGGGGGUUCUACAAUGCUAAUGUUUUAAUUUAUUUUUGUAUUUCAAGUCUACACUUCCCUUUUAAAGCUAAAGUAGUUAGCAAGUUUAGGAGGUAGGUGACUGUACUCGUUAUUUUUGUAUGCCAACUUGAUACAAGCUAGAGUUAUUGCAGAGAAAGGAGCCUCCCUUAAGGAAAUGCCUCUAUGAGAUCCAGCUGUAAGGCAUUUUCUCAAUUAGUGAUCAAGUGGGCAGGGCUUAGCCCAUUGUGGGUGUUGCCAUCCCUGGGCUGGGAGUCAGUCCUGAGUUCUAUCAGAAAACAAGCUGAGUAAGCUGGGGAGACAAGCCAGUAAGUAACAUCUCUCCAUGGCCUGUGCAUCAGCUCCUGCCUCCAAGUCCCUGCCCUGUGUGAGUUCCAGUCUUGACUUCCAUGGUGAUGAAGAGGAACAUGGAAGUGUAAGCUGAAUAACCCGUUUCCUCCCC